rnacentral:rRNA from 1 species
AACAGCUCAAAUUUGAAAUCUAGUCUCUUUCGGGGCUCGAGUUGUAAUUUGUAGAGGAUGCCUUCGGGUUUGGCCCUGGCCUAAGUUCCUUGGAACAGGACGUCACAGAGGGUGAGAAUCCCGUAUGUGGCUAGUGGUCUAUACCCAUGUGAAGCUCCUUCGACGAGUCGAGUUGUUUGGGAAUGCAGCUCAAAAUGGGUGGUAAGUUUCAUCUAAAGCUAAAUACUGGCGGGAGACCGAUAGCGCACAAGUAGAGUGAUCGAAAGAUGAAAAGCACUUUGGAAAGAGAGUUAAAAAGUACGUGAAAUUGUUGAAAGGGAAGCGCUUGCGACCAGACUUGCCCUCAGUUGAUCAACCUAGUGUUCAUCACUGGUGCACUCUGCUGAGGUCAGGCCAGCAUCGGUUUGGGCGGUUGGAGAAAGGCCGUAGGAAUGUGACUUCCUUCGGGGAGUGUUAUAGCCUAUGGUGUCAUGCGACCAGCCUGGACUGAGGACCGCGCCUUUAGUGGCUAGGAUGCUGGCAUAAUGGUCCGUAAGCGACCCGUCUUGAAACACGGACCAAGGAGUCUACAUCUAUGCNAAGUGUUUGGGUGUCAAACCCACACGCGUAAUGAAAGUGAACGGAGGUGGGGAACCCUCAAGGGGUGCACCAUCGACCGAUCCUGAUGUCUUCGGAUGGAUUUGAGUAAGAGCAUAGCUGUUGGGACCCGAAAGAUGGUGAACUAUGCCUGAAUAGGGUGAAGCCAGAGGAAACUCUGGUGGAGGCUCGCAGCGGUUCUGACGUGCAAAUCGAUCGUCAAAUUUGGGUAUAGGGGCGAAAGACUAAUCGAACCAUUGCUAUUAGGUGGUUAAGAGGCGGGUAAAAGGUCCGUCUAGUCCUUGUUCACAGGGCGACACUGUCAAAUUGCGGGGACACCCUUAGAGCUCAAACAACCGCAGCCUAACUGAAAGGUGGGUGCGCACCAGGGUAAUGACCUCGGGGAUGGUAAUAUUGUUUGAGAUUGGGCAAUCCGCAGCGAAGUCCUAAAGGCCUUUUGGCCUAAGGAUGAAGUUCACAGACUAGAUGGCAGUGGGUGAGAGGACAACACAGUGUGUGUCCCCUUGCUUAAGGUAUAGUCGAGCCACCGGGAGACCGGUCGGUUGGGAUGAAGCACUUGGGGAGUUGAAGCCCUGCACAUACUUGCUGCAGGUCCCUUCUGUGCCCGAGCCCACCGGAGAGCACUCAACUCUUGGGUAUAAUAAUGCUAGUAGCUGGUCUGCCGA